AUGAACGCUAGCUACAGGCUUAACACAUGCAAGUCGAGGGGCAUCAGGAAGAAAGCUUGCUUUCUUUGCUGGCGACCGGCGCACGGGUGAGUAACACGUAUCCAACCUGCCCUUUACUCGGGGAUAGCCUUUCGAAAGAAAGAUUAAUACCCGAUAGCAUAAUGAUUCCGCAUGGUUUCAUUAUUAAAGGAUUCCGGUAAAGGAUGGGGAUGCGUUCCAUUAGGUUGUUGGUGGGGUAACGGCCCACCAAGCCUUCGAUGGAUAGGGGUUCUGAGAGGAAGGUCCCCCACAUUGGAACUGAGACACGGUCCAAACUCCUACGGGAGGCAGCAGUGAGGAAUAUUGGUCAAUGGGCGCUAGCCUGAACCAGCCAAGUAGCGUGAAGGAUGAAGGCUCUAUGGGUCGUAAACUUCUUUUAUAUAAGAAUAAAGUGCAGUAUGUAUACUGUUUUGUAUGUAUUAUAUGAAUAAGGAUCGGCUAACUCCGUGCCAGCAGCCGCGGUAAUACGGAGGAUCCGAGCGUUAUCCGGAUUUAUUGGGUUUAAAGGGAGCGUAGGUGGACUGGUAAGUCAGUUGUGAAAGUUUGCGGCUCAACCGUAAAAUUGCAGUUGAUACUGUCAGUCUUGAGUACAGUAGAGGUGGGCGGAAUUCGUGGUGUAGCGGCGAAAUGCUUAGAUAUCACGAAGAACUCCGAUUGCGAAGGCAGCUCACUGGACUGCAACUGACACUGAUGCUCGAAAGUGUGGGUAUCAAACAGGAUUAGAUACCCUGGUAGUCCACACAGUAAACGAUGAAUACUCGCUGUUUGCGAUAUACAGUAAGCGGCCAAGCGAAAGCAUUAAGUAUUCCACCUGGGGAGUACGCCGGCAACGGUGAAACUCAAAGGAAUUGACGGGGGCCCGCACAAGCGGAGGAACAUGUGGUUUAAUUCGAUGAUACGCGAGGAACCUUACCCGGGCUUAAAUUGCAGUGGAAUGAUGUGGAAACAUGUCAGUGAGCAAUCACCGCUGUGAAGGUGCUGCAUGGUUGUCGUCAGCUCGUGCCGUGAGGUGUCGGCUUAAGUGCCAUAACGAGCGCAACCCUUAUCUUUAGUUACUAACAGGUCAUGCUGAGGACUCUAGAGAGACUGCCGUCGUAAGAUGUGAGGAAGGUGGGGAUGACGUCAAAUCAGCACGGCCCUUACGUCCGGGGCUACACACGUGUUACAAUGGGGGGUACAGAAGGCAGCUAGCGGGUGACCGUAUGCUAAUCCCAAAAGCCUCUCUCAGUUCGGAUCGAAGUCUGCAACCCGACUUCGUGAAGCUGGAUUCGCUAGUAAUCGCGCAUCAGCCACGGCGCGGUGAAUACGUUCCCGGGCCUUGUACACACCGCCCGUCAAGCCAUGGGAGCCGGGGGUACAAGAAGUACGUAACCGCAAGGAUCGUCCUAGGGUAAAACU
rnacentral:rRNA from 1 species